rnacentral:rRNA from 1 species
UACGUAGGGUGCAAGCGUUGUCCGGAAUUAUUGGGCGUAAAGAGCUCGUAGGCGGUCUGUCGCGUCGGCUGUGAAAUCCCGAGGCUCAACCUCGGGUCUGCAGUCGAUACGGGCAAACUGGAGUGUUGCAGGGGAGACUGGAAUUCCUGGUGUAGCGGUGAAAUGCGCAGAUAUCAGGAGGAACACCGGUGGCGAAGGCGGGUCUCUGGACAUUUCCUAACGCUGAGGCACGAAAGCCAGGGGAGCAAACGGG